ensembl:snRNA U7 U7 small nuclear RNA
UAGUGGCACAGCUCUUUUCGAAUUUGUCUAGCAGAUUUUCAGUUUUUUAGCAGAAAACCACC